AACGAACGCUGGCGGCAUGCCUAACAUAUGCCAGUCGAACGAGACCUUCGGGUCUAGUGUCGCACGGGUUCGUAACGCGUGGGAACCUGCACUUAGGUUCGGCAUAACUCCCCGAAAGGGGUCCUAAUACCGGAUAAUGUCCUCGGACCAAAGAUUUAUCGCCUUUGGAUGGGCCUGCGUUGGAUUAGCUAGUUGGUAGGGUAAAAGCCUACCAAGGCGACGAUCCAUAGCUGGUCUGAGAGGAUGAUCAGCCACACUGGGACUGAGACACGGCCCAGACUCCUACGGGAGGCAGCAGUGGGGAAUAUUGGACAAUGGGCGAAAGCCUGAUCCAGCAAUGCGGCGUGAGUGAUGAAGGCCUUAGGGUUGUAAAGCUCUUUUACCCGGGAUGAUAAUGACAGUACCGGGAGAAUAAGCUCCGGCUAACUCCGUG
rnacentral:rRNA from 1 species